rfam:Salmo salar isolate Sally breed double haploid chromosome ssa09, whole genome shotgun sequence.
UCCCAUGUGGCUCAGUUGGUAGAGCAUGGCCCUUGCAACGGCAAGGUUAUGGGUUUGACUCCCAUGGGGGAC